AGGUCUUGCAGGGCCAGGCAAAAGUCAGCAGAGGUAAUCCUGCUCUUCAGUAUAUUUUAGUGUAUGAUUUUUUUUAAAAAGAUGAGUCAGAAGGAGAUAUUUCUCUGAAGAAAAAAGCCACCAAAGAAUACACUGUGUCCUGGGAGCUCCUUUCCCCUAUGGCCAGUCCUAAGAGCCAAGUGCAUCCCUGGCGUUCUCAGAACAAGGAGGACAGCAGAAUGUGAUUCCCACACACUCCCUGAGCCUGCUAGACCUAAGCCUUGUAGGACAUUCUGCCUAGAAACUCUGCACAAACUACACUUGUUCUAAGGGCCAUGGCUUUCCACUCUCCUGCCCCUUGACUUGCUGAAGCACCUGCAUGCACCUGGAAGUCAUGCUGCAGCCAGAGAAAGGAUCCACGAUUCUGUGGUUGUAAAAAGUGAAUGGAGUCAGAAAACCACCUUCUACACAGAAAAGCCCAGGCUCCUCAAUUUAGAAUUCACUGUGGCAGUACUGUUCCUGACAGGUCUCAAAGCACUUUGCCCUACAGCCUGCUGAGCCUACUGAGCCACACUCUGUGACAGUUUUAUCCCUCUCUGGAUGAAAACACUGGGGUUCAGAGAGGUAGCAAUCCAAUCAUCUGUCAUCUCUCUGCUUUUCUUCCAAUCUCCCACAGAGUAAGGCAGCAAGCAAUUGAGGGACUGGAGUGCUCAGGCCCACAGACCCCCAAGUAGAGGCUGGACCAUCAGAACUCCUGGCAGAGGCUCAGUGUAAAGCCGUUUAGCUUUUCCAUUUGCUGAGUUUCUUCCCUCCCACUGAUAACUCAUCCAAGUGAAGGAAACAAAAGCAGAGUGACGUCAUCUCCAGGGCCCCAGCUGCCAGAUUCUUCUGCAGAUCUGCAGCCAUCCUGACCUGUCCUAAAGGACCGGCCCCUGCAGCUGGCCUGGGGCCAGCCCAGAGGGAGCCUCUGUGAGCCAGUGCAGACCAGCCCAGGGACAUUCCCAACCAACCAGAAAACCCGGCUGGGGAGCACAUUCCUAGAAGAGCCUGCCACAUUGCAAGCCAGGGCCCAGCCUCCAGGGAAUGGGCGAGUGGGAGCCACUCCAAAGGGCACUCCUCAGUUUUGUCCCGUUGGGACUUCCUUCUUGUCCCAGAAGGAGCUGCCUAUCGGAGGAGCAGCCCAGGGAGUGAAGGCAGGUAGCAGGGUGCACAAGAACUGAGAAGUCAGUGGCUCUGGAGGAGCCCUGCUCACUGUGAAGCAGCACACCCCUUCCCUUUACCCUAACUAAACUUCUAAAUGUGAAUCAACUCAGAGAGAAGAGGAAAAGGGCACAUGGGUGUGCAGGGGACAAGGGCUCAAGACCGUUCCCAAAGCCACCAUUUGGCAGAGAAAUGUACCUACCUGCCAACUGCCAGCAGAAGAGGAUGUGUAAAGAAAGAUUUGGCCUUUCCGGGAAAGCCCUGGAG
rnacentral:lncRNA from 1 species